rnacentral:rRNA from 1 species
UCCUACGGGAGGCAGCAGUGGGGAAUAUUGCACAAUGGGGGAAACCCUGAUGCAGCAACGCCGCGUGAGUGAAGAAGUAUUUCGGUAUGUAAAUCUCUAUCAGCAGGGAAGAAGAAAGACGGUACCUGACUAAGAAGCCCCGGCUAACUACGUGCCAGCAGCCGCGGUAAUACGUAGGGGGCAAGCGUUAUCCGGAUUUACUGGGGGUAAAGGGAGCGUAGACGGCAUAGCAAGUCUGAAGUGAAAGCCCGUG